AUAUAUAUACUGCUCCUUUCCGCAAAGAUUACACUUAAUCGGUCUUACACAACCCUAACACACUUGUUAGUUUGUUCCUGGCCAACUUCUAACUCAUGACCACAGAUUGUCCCCGAUCACUCUACAAAAUUACCGUGCAUAACGGUCUUCUCUGACAACUACGGUCUCUUUAGAAAUACCACCAACAGACCCUCUCCUCAUAAACUGAGAAGACAUUGCAUUCUUGUUUAUUCCAAAAGUCUGAUGUCUCCAUAAGAAGGUUCAGGCCACCUUGCUUACCAAG